rnacentral:rRNA from 1 species
AUUGAACGCUGGCGGAAUGCUUUACACAUGCAAGUCGAACGGCAGCACGGACUUCGGUCUGGUGGCGAGUGGCGAACGGGUGAGUAAUGUAUCGGAACGUGCCCAGUCGUGGGGGAUAACGUAGUGAAAAUUACGCUAAUACCGCAUACGAUCUAUGGAUGCAAGAGGGGGAUCGAAAGACCUCGCGCGAUUGGAGCGGCCGAUAUCAGAUUAGGUAGUUGGUGGGGUAAAUGCCCACCAAGCCAACGAUCUGUAGCUGGUCUGAGAGGGCGACCAGCCACACUGGAACUGAGACACGGUCCAGACUCCUACGGGAGGCAGCAGUGGGGAAUUUUGGACAAUGGGCGAAAGCCUGAUCCAGCCAUUCCGCGUGCAGGAUGAAGGCCCUCGGGUUGUAAACUGCUUUUGUACAGAACGAAAAGGUUUCUACUAAUACUAGGAGCUCAUGACGGUACUGUAAGAAUAAGCACCGGCUAACUACGUGCCAGCCGCCGCCGUAA